rnacentral:rRNA from 1 species
UACGUAGGGGGCAAGCGUUGUCCGGAUUUAUUGGGCGUAAAGAGCUCGUAGGCGGUUUGGUAAGUCUGGUGUGAAAUCUCCACGCUCAACGUGGAGGGGCCACCCGAUACUGCCAUGACUGGAGUCCGGUAGAGGAGUGUGGAAUUCCCGGUGUAGCGGUGAAAUGCGCAGAUAUCAGGAGGAACACCGGUGGCGAAGGCGGGUCUCUGGGCCGUAACUGACGCUGAGGAGCGAAAGCGUGGGGAGCGAACAGG